GAUGAACGCUAGCUACAGGCUUAACACAUGCAAGUCGAGGGGAAACGAUAUUGGAAGCUUGCUUCCGAUAGGCGUCGACCGGCGCACGGGUGAGUAACGCGUAUCCAACCUGCCCAUCACUUGGGGAUAACCUUGCGAAAGUAAGACUAAUACCCAAUGACGUCUCUAGAAGACAUCUGAAAGAGAUUAAAGAUUUAUCGGUGAUGGAUGGGGAUGCGUCUGAUUAGCUUGUUGGCGGGGUAACGGCCCCACCAAGGCGACGAUCAGUAGGGGUUCUGAGAGGAAGGUCCCCCANAUUGGAACUGAGACACGGUCCAAACUCUACGGGAGCAGCAGUGAGGAAUAUUGGUCAAUGGACGAGAGUCUGGACCAGCCAAGUAGCGU
rnacentral:rRNA from 1 species